rnacentral:tRNA from 1 species
GCACCGGUGGCGGAAUGGUAGACGCGUACGCCUCAGAAGCGUAUGAUUUAUAUCGUGUGAGUUCAAGUCUCAUUCGGUGCACCA